GAUGAAGAACGCAGCGAAAUGCGAUAAGUAAUGUGAAUUGCAGAAUUCAGUGAAUCAUCGAAUCUUUGAACGCACAUUGCGCCCCCUGGUAUUCCGGGGGGCAUGCCUGUUCGAGCGUCAUUACAACCCUCAAGCUCUGCUUGGUGUUGGGCCCCGCCGCCCCGGCGGGCCCUAAAAUCAGUGGCGGUGCCGUCCGGCUCCGAGCGUAGUAAUUCUUCUCGCUCUGGAGGUCCGGGUGUGUGCUCGCCAGCAACCCCCAAUUUUUUUCAGGUUGACCUCGGAUCAGGUAGGGAUACCCGCUGAACUGAAGAAUAUCAAUAAGCGGAGGA
rnacentral:misc_RNA from 1 species